UGACCCGACCAUUUGUAGCACUAUAUCUCCCAGCAUGCGUCGCGCCAGACUCAGAGCUGUGUAUCCUGGUUACAGGGGGAGAGCUGAGGCUGGCCCAUGUCAUGAGUGGGGCAUUGGACAGGGCAGGCUGAGGCCCAGCGUCAUGCAUAGAUGGGUGACAAGACUGACAGCACAAUGGCUUCUCACAUAGAGAAAAUCACUCUGGGCAUCAGCAAGAUCUUAGAGUCCUCUCCUGGUGUGACCGAAGUGAAGUUUGAGGAAAUCCCUCCUGCUGAACGUCACAUGAUUGUCUCCUGGGAGCAG